rnacentral:rRNA from 1 species
UACGUAGGGGGCUAGCGUUGUCCGGAAUCAUUGGGCGUAAAGAGCGUGUAGGCGGCCCGGUAAGUCCGCUGUAAAAGUCAAAGGCUCAACCUUUGAAUGUCAGUGGAUACUGCCGUGCUAGAGUCCGGAAGAGGCGAGUGGAACUCCUGGUGUAGCGGUGGAAUGCGCAGAUAUCAGGAAGAACACCAACGGCGAAGGCAGCUCGCUGGGACGGUACUGACGCUGAGACGCGAAAGCGUGGGGAGCGAACAGG